CAGCCUGUUCCAGUUCGAAGUAACCCUCAAAAUAAUGGCUUUGGGACCCCUCAAGCAUCUUGGAAUAGGACGGUCAUUGUAGAACAGGUACCUAGGAGAAAUGGACAUAUUUCUGAUCAUGGAGAAUUGGCCAGUAUUACCAAGUCCAGCUAUGGUGAAUAUCUCAGCAUGUAGAAGUUCAGGUUCAGCCCGUGUGAAUAACUUGCUGCAUAUGGCUGGAAAUCUGGGAAAAGCCGUGGGCACCCUAGUCACAGUCAUGACGGAUGACGAAGAGGCCAGCGGUUCCGAUGAUGACCUCAAACAAUGACCCUGCAUUUAAUUUGAAUCUUCAUCGUAAUCAUCUGGGAAAAGACUGCCAGUGCUUCACUUUUUUUCGCCAAUCUUUUUGUACCGAAGUCAUGUUACCUCGUUCAUUUACCAUCAAGGAGGGAAGAAGUCAGACAUAUCAUGUUAUACCAUUGCCUGGACAUCAUUUUGUAUUGCCUUAGUCUUUGCACAAGGAUGGCUCUCUGUAGACAUGAUGGGGAAUAGUAUUUUUUUAUAUUGUUGUCAGAGUCACUUUGCGUUUGUUUGUGUAGCAGGUGAAUCAAAUAGGAGUUCAGUCAGCUCCUUGGAAGGUUUUUCCCGAUUUCUGAAAGAUUUAUUGUUAGAGAAAUUGAAUAUUUUAAAGUUUUCUAUGUUGUGUAUUUCUUUUGACCAUGUUGGUCGAUCAUAUCAAGACUGAUAGAAACUUUAAUCACUUGUCAGUUCAAUAUAUUUGAAAGAUUUUAUUUGAGGAAAUGACGGAAAAUGUAAUUUUAAGAAAAACUGAAUAAGGUUUUGGGUGAUAAGUAACUUUUUGAAGGAAGUAAAACAUUUGAUGAAUGUUGAAUAUAAUAUUCACUGAGCAUCUCCGGUGAAAAAUUGCAUGACUUCCAUUUACUUUUUUAGAUAAAUUGAAAAAUCUUGUUGACCAAAACCUUUUAAGAAAGUAAUUUCUUAUAUAUAUCAGCGGCGCCAUUGAAGAUAAGAUAAAAAAGUAUAAAGCUUGCCUAAAUGAAACGUGAUAAUUAGAAAUGCGAGCUUUGAGAGUAAUAUGUUGGACCACGUAAAGGUGUACUGUACAAAGAGUAGAGUUUGCUUUUAAUGAAAGCAGAACUUUCAAGUGGUUAAAGUUACAAAAUAAAAUUAUGAGAGAAAGACUUUGUAUAAAAAUAAAAUUUAUUUAGAUUCUCAUAAAGUAGAUAUUAUUUUUGUUUAAAAGAUCAAAUAAUGUAUAUUUGCAAUAUUUUGUUGCUGAUGAAAGUAUGAUUGAUUUAUGUACUUCAAACGUUGCAUCUGUAAAAAAUAACGUCGUGUUCAUUUUUUUUUUAUUUAAAGGAUAAGUGUUUCAUUUGUAAUUGAUGGAUGCAUUUGUAAAUUAUGUUCAUAGUUUUGACCAAUAUAGUCCAUAACGGGAAAUCAUCAUAUGUUCUUUUAAAGGAGAAACUUAAAGGGCCAUAUUGUGUUAACAGGAAUUGCUAUAAUCUUCUAUGAUCAAAAGAGUAUUUCGCACAAUUUCAUUUAUUGUUACUUUAGAGUUUUAAAUAUGCAGAAAUAGUUUGGAAUAAAUAUUUUAUUUUGUACUCGUUUCACUCCAGAGCCUGUGAAACAAAAUGUCGUUAAGUUUAAACAAAGCUUAAUUUCCUUGCCAAUCAUUUUCCCUUUGGCUGUUUUUCCAAUCCUUAAAUUUUAUUUUACUAACUAAAUUCCAGGGGACUAUGGUUUUUGGAUUGUGUUAUGAGUUAUCAAAGCUGUUGCUGGUGUGAAAACCAUAGCAAUAAAUGCUCAUUGCAAAACCAAGAACAGUAAUUUGUGACUGUUGCAGUCUAAAUUUGCUUUUUUAUUAUGUUUUUGAACUUUUAAUGAUUGAGUUUCUGUCACUGCCACAUACUGAACAAUUUCUUUUUUUUCCCUCUCAUAUACGUUGUUUUCAGUUCAUUAGAGAUCUCCAUUGAAGAGUCGUAUAAAGCAUGUGCCCACAAUAUUUUGUGUUAAUGAAAGGAAUUAUAGUAAAACAGUCUAACUAUCUCUGUGUAUUUAAAAACGAUGAUUCAUCCAGUUGAAUUGCUUGAAUAAUGACAAAAUAACAUUUCCAUUUAACAUAAUCAUUACAUAGUUUUCAUUAAGCUUUUAAUUACAAAAAUGUAAUUUUGAAAAAAAAAUCCAUUUAAUGAAAACUAAAAAGUUUGCCUUACAUUGAAGGAAUUCAACUGUAUAUGUCAUAAACUGAACUGAAUUUAAUACCAUAAUGAUAUUUAUUAAUUGUUAAUAAUGAAAAUUUUUCCUUGCAUCAUAGUCAUGUGAAAAACUCAGAUUUAAUUAUUGGUUCAAAAUAUUAGAAUAAAAUCAUCCAAGUUGAAAAGUAAUUUUCUAUUGUGCUACAAAAAAUUCUUCAAAACUCCAAAGAUUAUUGUGUGACAUGUCUUAGCAUGUACCAUUUUUGUACUAUAAAUGAAUAUGUCUUUACACUUAAGGAUAAGUGGAAAUGUCUGAAUCAAUUUGCAGCAAUAAAUGAGAAAUUUA